GGUCCCUCCGCAAUGAUAGGCAGUGAAAUCCGCCAGGCCCGGAAGGGAGCAACGGUAGUUGCUGAUUCGUGUGCCGGAAUGUGGCUGUC
rnacentral:SRP_RNA from 1 species